UACGAAGGGGGCUAGCGUUGCUCGGAAUCACUGGGCGUAAAGGGUGCGUAGGCGGGUCUUUUAAGUCAGGGGUGAAAUCCUGGAGCUCAACUCCAGAACUGCCUUUGAUACUGAGGAUCUUGAGUUCGGGAGAGGUGAGUGGAACUGCGAGUGUAGAGGUGAAAUUCGUAGAUAUUCGCAAGAACACCAGUGGCGAAGGCGGCUCACUGGCCCGAUACUGACGCUGAGGCACGAAAGCCAGGGGAGCAAACGGG
rnacentral:rRNA from 1 species